CCCGGGUUGUCGCAUCCGCUCGUGUGCAGAUAGAGAACUGCAUGGCAACGGAAGGACGCUUGGAGAUAGAAUGAGGGGAGGGUACUAUGGUCCCACGUGUCCUCAUCACCGCAGACCCAACGCAAUUCUGUUCAUUUUCUAUCUACCAUUUCCACAUACCGCAGAUUCGCAUACACUCAUGCAUACAUACAGCUUACACACGCACAAUCAUGUAGGAUGUAUGCAUACGUGCACUCAAAUCUCCCCAUUUGACCUAUUCUACAUAAUCUAGGCUAAUUUGCCAAUUCCAAUAUUGAUCGGCUCUGGCAUAGGCUAUUAGGCCUGCUUCUUUUUUCAUUUGGUGAUAGGCUAUUUAAUUCAAUUGCCUGAUAUCGGUGAGACUGUAUGCUACGAGUUGAAUGGGGAGAUGAGAGGACGGGCGUCAGCUGUCAACCAGAUUCAUUCGGUGUUUUUUCUCUCUCGCCAUAAUCGUUUGAGCGUCGGUUUUCUUUUUAUCUGCGCCUGUUACAUUGUAACGCACUCGAUGUUAAUUCGGGGGAAUAUGUGAACAUCAUGCUGGCGGUGUGGUGCUUGGUCUUUGCUGCAGUGGGCGAGAGGCUUGCCGUGUCAGGCGACGGCAGGUCGACUUUGCUGCGGGAUGCGAGUUUGUGGGAUUGGUUCUCGCCAGAGGAGCGGGGAGACAGCAGCGACAUUGCGGUCGAAGUCGCCUAUCCAAAGCGGCUGGUGCAGCAGAUGGAGUCGGAGGAAGAAAUGUCCCACGGCUAUUUGGAUACUCGCAUGAAGAAUACCACGGGAGGUACCCCCGUAAGUAUAGACCACUGUCUGCAAUGGAGAAGUGGGUGUGGCAACCCGUUCUUAUUGGUGUGUUAUUUAUUCGUUUUCGUUCUCUCUCUUGCAUUAAAUUCCCAGUUCAUUGUUGACACUGUCAUGGUUUCUCCCCACCCAAAUUACUUGUGCGAACCCUGUCUUGCCUGUUAUGGCCGUCUCUUGUUUUCAAGUGUAUCAUAAGAUCCAUCCCAAACUGCACACGUCUAUCAUCAGUCCCAUAAUGCCCUAACUUCCACUCUGUGACUGGCAGGUGUGCUGUUCUUACUCUGAACCUCCAGGUGUCUUCAGCUUGCUUGUAUAUACACUGAACAAAAAUGUAAGCGGAACAUGUGUGUUGGUCCCAUGUUUCAUGAGCUGAAAUAAAAGAACCCAGAAAUGUUCCAUAUGCACAAAUAGUUUAUUUCUCUCAAACUUUGUGCACACAUUUGUUUACAUCCCUGUUAGUGGGCAUUUCUCCUUUGCCAAGAUAAUCUAUCCACUUGACAGGUGUGGCAUAUCAAGAAGCUGAUUAAACAGCAUGAUCAUUACACCUUGUGCUGGGUACAAGAAAGGCCACUCUAAAAUGUGCAGUUUUGUCACACAACACAAUGCCACAGAUGUCUUAAGUUUAGAGGGAGCAUGCAAUUCACAUGCUGACUACAGGAAUGUCCACCAGAGCUGUUGCCAG
rnacentral:lncRNA from 1 species